UGGGGAAUUUUGGACAAUGGGCGAAAGCCUGAUCCAGCAAUGCCGCGUGUGUGAAGAAGGCCUUCGGGUUGUAAAGCACUUUUGUCCGGAAAGAAAUCCUUGGCUCUAAUACAGUCGGGGGAUGACGGUACCGGAAGAAUAAGCACCGGCUAACUACGUGCCAGCAGCCGCGGUAAUACGUAGGGUGCAAGCGUUAAUCGGAAUUACUGGGCGUAAAGCGUGCGCAGGCGGUUUGCUAAGACCGAUGUGAAAUCCCCGGGCUCAACCUGGGAACUGCAUUGGUGACUGGCAGGCUAGAGUAUGGCAGAGGGGGGUAGAAUUCCACGUGUAGCAGUGAAAUGCGUAGAGAUGUGGAGGAAUACCGAUGGCGAAGGCAGCCCCCUGGGCCAAUACUGACGCUCAUGCACGAAAGCGUGGGGGAGCAAAGCAGGAUUAGAUACCCCUGGUAGUCCACGCCCUAAACGAUGUCAACUAGUUGUUGGGGAUUCAUUUCCUUAGUAACGUAGCUAACGCGUGAAGUUGACCGCCUGGGGAGUACGGUCGCAAGAUU
rnacentral:rRNA from 1 species